ensembl:lncRNA novel transcript
AGCACCAGAAAGACUUGGAGAGGAAGGCCCUGGAAGAGCUGCCUCUGUGAAUCCCCGAAGAAAGGGAAGGGAGAACAAAGUUUACACUGAACAUCUUGACUUCCCAAACAGCAUGUUGAGGCAGUCCCACGGCGGACAGGUUUUGCGGCAGGCCUGGGACUCGCCCGGGACUGCCGCAGCCUGGAGAUUCAUCUAGAAAGAAUAUAACAAGCCUCCUUCUCCCUGGUGCCCAUGUUACUCCCUGUUGCUACUCUUUCCGAGCCUUCAGUUCCCUGGGUGGUACCCUCAAGUGUGAAAGAGGGAGUGCCCCUUGGAAGCUGGGGAACGAUUUAGGCCCAGGAGAAAAUGGAAGCAAAUCCAACAACCGGUGAGCUGUUAAAGAGGCCAUGCGCCUGGUAGCAAGAGCUCUGGAUCAAACGGCAUAACAUGCGUUUGGACAUGUAAGGAUUUCAGCGGUUCCUGCAAAGCAAACUUCUCUGGAGGAGCCCGAGAGACCUCUUCUGUACAGAAUAGCCUUACACCCCAUAGGGCAGUCUGUCAGCAAUGCAUUUGAAAGGGGAGCACAUAGGUAAUGCAUUAGACUCCAUGUAAACUGCCCAAUGCUUCCCAGAAGGCUGGCGGCCCCUGCAUCGCUCUGAACUGAAGAGGAGCUGAAGUCACAGAAAGCCAGCCACUACUCGAUUGCCCAAGAAGCAGUCGUCGCACUGGCCCAGCUUCACAGCGGCUCUCGAGUGCUGAGAAAACCCACUGGAAGGGCUUCCUUUCCCUACUCUGCACAUGAGAAUAGCCAUUCCUGUGUCAGUUUUGCUUCUUUCUGGGCUCUCUGAUUAGGAUUUAUUUCCUUAGCUAGAGAAAAUAAAGGGACCUUACAAGGCCUAAUUAGAGCGACUCCUCUCUGAUGUAUUCAAGACACCCUGCUGAAUUGGACUGGCAAGUCCCUGUGUAUUGUUAUUAUUGUUGUUUUAAAGAAGCCAUUUCUGACCAGGGUGGCUGAAGGAGACGCCCUUUGUCGGCCUCUCAUGGUCCUGGCCCUCGCCAAGGGAACUGUUCCUGAACUGCUGUGUUUAUUUGAGUUAUGUAAUAUAAACAGCUCCAAGGA